UAACCUGCCCAAGAGAUCGGGAUAACACCUGGAAACAGAUGCUAAUACCGGAUAACGACAGAUGAUGCCUAUCAACUGUUUAAAAGAUGGUUCUGCUAUCACUCUUGGAUGGACCUGCGGUGCAUUAGCUAGUUGGUAGGGUAACGGCCUACCAAGGCGAUGAUGCAUAGCCGAGUUGAGAGACUGAUCGGCCACAUUGGGACUGAGACACGGCCCAAACUCCUACGGGAGGCAGCAGCU
rnacentral:rRNA from 1 species